rnacentral:rRNA from 1 species
GUUAGGAAUAUUGGACAAUGGGCGCAAGCCUGAUCCAGCCAUGCCGCGUGAACGAUGAAGGCCUUCGGGUUGUAAAGUUCUUUAGCCGAUGAUUAUAAUGACUGUAGUCGGAAAAUAAGCCCCGGCUAACUUCGUGCCAGCAGCCGCGGUACUACGAAGGGGGCGAGCGUUAUUCGGAAUCACUGGGCGUAAAGCGUGCGUAGGCGGUCUAGUAAGUUAGGAGUGAAAGCCCAGGGCUCAACCUUGGAAUUGCUCUUAAAACUGCAAGGCUAGAAUCUCGGAGAGGAUAGCGGAAUUUCCAGUGUAGCAGUGAAAUGCGUAGAUAUUGGAAGGAACACCAGUGGCGUAAGCGGCUAUCUGGACGAGUAUUGACGCUGAGGCACGAAAGCGUGGGGAUCAAACAGGAUUAGAUACCCGUGUAGUCC